UCAGGAGCACACCCACCGCUCCUCUCCUUCCGGGGGCUUCUGAAAAACACACGGGCCAAGCACCGUUGGUGAGGAUGGGACGUGGUGUAGCUGCCGGGGAAAAUGGCGCAGCGGUUCCUCGGAAAAUUCGGAACGGAAUUGCUGUGCGAGCCGGCAACCCCACCUCUCGGCGUAUCCCCCCGAAAGCAGGGACUCGGGGGGAUCUGUGCGCACCCACGUUCACAGCAGCCUUAUUCGCAACAGCCGACAGGUGGAAGCGACCCGAAUGUCCGUCAACGGAGGAGCAGGCGAACAAGCUGCGGUUACCUGGAAAUGGGAGGACGGUUCAUGACGAAAACUGAGCUCAUAAGGUGGGGAUUUGCAUGAAGCGUUCUUUGACCUCGUUUCUGGGGAGGAGGCUCAACGCCCAGCGUGGGGCUUGAACUCACGACCUCGAUGUCAAAAGUGGCAUGCUCCACCGACUGAGCCAGCCAGGAGCCCCACCCGGUAGCCUUUAUUACAACCAAUUUCCUGAUUCUGGGGCAGCCGGGAAGGCUGUGUCCCAGACUGCGCUCGUGGACCCAAGCCAGUCUGUUCAAGAGAAACUCGGUCCUUUGUGAGAGGUGGAGACUCUAAGCGGACUCCUUCCAGAAAGCACGGGAACCCCCAGUGACGGCCUGAAGUGACUAAAACACGGCCAGGAGGCACAUCCCUGCCCCAGCCCUCCCUAGGCAAACUUCGUGUUCAACGCACCUGAGAGUCAGGUAAAUACCGAUAGCAGGUUAAAUACGAGUUGAACCAUUAGAACAGAAAAUACAGCUGCCGAGCAGCCCAGAGAGGCUGCGGGUUCCGGGAGGGGCAGGCCCAGCACUGACUGAGCUCGCCGCCGGGCACAGGUCGUUCGCUUCUGUAGGAACCACUGAUCUGGACACCCGCCUCCCCCCCUCUGUCUCUCUGCCGCUGGCCCGCGUGUUUGUCGCGCCCACGUGGGUGUCGCAUGGCGCACAGUUCCGGGGAAGGCUCCCGAACGCUCCUGAGGAGAAGCCACUGAGGAGUUAUGCACAGCUCAGCCCCGGACGGAGCACGCGAACCUGAUGAGCGGAGCUGUGGACAACCCCAGCAACCUGACGGGGGCCCCCGAGCAAGGGGCUUCGAGGCCAAGUUUGAUACUGAAAGAGAAAGCCGGCUGACAGAGGCACACGUGACACCCGAGGAUGCCUGCAGGGUGACAUCCACCCGUCUGAGCUGCUCUGCCGUCCAGCACCCACCGGGAGGGCCAGUACGCAGGCAGGCCUCAGUUUGCCCAUCUGUAAGAUGGGGACCCAGCCGCGCUGCAGGGAGAGCAAAGGAGGCUGUGCCGCCAGGGGCAGGGGCCGCGUGAGCCGUCCGCAAGGGUCCUGGGGCCACCCUCCCAGCAGGUGCUCACAGUUAAGAAACACAGACUUAGACUGUAUCUCUUCCUGCUUCAAACCCUCCACGGUCCCGGGAACCUCCCCACGCUCAGCACCCACGCUCCUUCUCUCAAAGGCCACGUGAGCCUCCUGUUGCUGCUGUGACAAAUCACCGCGAGCCCAGGGCUGAAAACGACACACGGUCCCAGGGCCGAAGUCCAACCCGGCCUCACCGGGCUGCAGGUGUCCACAGGACGGAACUCCUUCCGGAGGCUCCAGGAGAGAAUCCGGGUCCUUGUCUGUUCCGGCUCCUGGGGGCAGAGGCCUGGGGUGGAGGGCAUGGAGUCUCCACAGAAGCACGGUGAAUAGAGAAGAGUCGAGCUCUGGGCUCCUGGGGCCCUCGCUGGAGGACUUGUCGCGUUCUCCGCUCCCCAUCAGAGUGGCUCUCCGAGAGCGGCCGGGUCGGCCUGGUGCGCCAGCUCACGCGGCCUUGGAGUCCUUGCUCAUCCCUCAGAACGCCGAGUGUCACCUUAUGGCCGUUAACCCAGGUGGGCUGCCUGCAGGCGGGGGGCUGGCAACAUGGGUUUUGAAACCCCAGUCCCAUUCGGCAACCACAGAGUGCUUUAAUCUGACUUUAAUUAGGUCAGAUUUAAAAAUUUUAAUGACAGGGGGUGCCUGGAGGGCUCAGUCGGUUAAGCAUCGACUUUGGCUCAGGUCACGAU